GUAGGUGGCAAGCGUUGUCCGGAAUUAUUGGGCGUAAAGCGCGCGCAGGCGGUUCUUUAAGUCUGAUGUGAAAGCCCACGGCUCAACCGUGGAGGGUCAUUGGAAACUGGAGAACUUGAGUACAGAAGAGGAAAGCGGAAUUCCACGUGUAGCGGCGAAAUGCGUAGAGAUGUGGAGGAACACCAGUGGCGAAGGCGGCUUUCUGGUCUGUAACUGACGCUGAGGCGCGAAAGCGUGGGGAGCAAACAGGGAUUAGAUACCCUGGUAGUCCACGCCGUAAACGAUGAGUGCUAAGUGUUAGGGGGGUUUCCGCCCCCUUAGUGCUGCAGCUAGCGCAUUAAGCACUCCGCCCUGGGAGUACGGCCGCAAGGCUG
rnacentral:rRNA from 1 species